AACAAUCACUUAGUUUGGGCUAGAGCACAGAACAGCCCCUCUAGAUGCCAGAAAACUGGAUUUACAGUUUUAGCUCUAAAUAAUGCACCAAUAUACAUGCCCUGUUGGCAGGCAACAGGAGGCUGGGCAGGCUGUAAUAGAAAGAUGUCUGCUUUAACUCACAUAGGAUAUUAUAGCAGAAACAAGGUUUGAGUUUUGAAAAAUCAAAGACAGAAAAUUACAGUCCUUUAAUAUACUGCAGAGGAUUUUAUUUUCUCACACUUCUCUAUGGUUUGUUUCUUUUUUAAAGUAAAUUCAUUUAGGAACUAAAGCAAGACAGAAAUCAUUCUUUUACUUCUGGAGAAAAGCUUGAAAACGUGAAGUCUGAUGGCUCUAAACCAGAAAGCUAAGAUAAUAUAUCCUUCGAAGUUCAUGGUAUUAUUAAAGACCUGAGUCAUGAUUUUUGAGUGCUUGAGGUUAACAGUAAUUUAUUGAUCUCAGCAUAAGAAAAGGGUACACUUUUUCAGAAACAAUUGUUUCACUGUUAUCACAUACACUUUUAAAAGUAUAGUAUGUGAUGUGUAUCCUUGUAUUCUCUGUAUGUUUUUUUGUUUGUUCGUUUGUUUGUUUUCAUAUCGAAGAGUUUUUUCUCUCAGAAACAAGUCAAAACUUUUAAUUGAUUUCCAGUCUGAAGAAGUAAGGGUAUCAGAUUGUUUGUUUUAUUUGAAAUUUUGACAAUCUGCAUACCAGAUAAAGUACUGUUAUUCACUGAGUGCUGCAAUACCAUCACAGCUUUGGACAAGGCUGAGCAGAGUUUCUGCCUCUUCUCAAGCCAAGCUCAUUUCCCCCAGUUCUCUAUAUCUCAAGGAGGAAGAAGGAACCUCUCUGUCCUCAGCGGACCUCACUCCAUAGCAGAUGCUGAUAUGCAAGUUGACACUGGGAUCUGCUCUUUUUCCCCAGCUCCUCUGGGAGUGGAUCACCCCCACCAGCACUCAGACAGACCACCAGUGAUCCUGCUGCAUUUCACUGAGAGAAGACUGCCACCAGCAGUGGGUCUACAGUCAGCCUUCUCCUACUGAUAUGAAGGGACCACCCUAAUGCAGAUACCCACCAACAAACUAAUCCCAGUGCUUAAAAAUUUUGACAGGUCUACUGCAUGUCAGAGGGUUGAUGUUCAGAUUUCAAGAGAAGAAAACGUUGCACCUAUUUGAUGGAAGCCACAGUACCUGGGCAUCCUUUAUAUUCCUGAAAGUGCUUAUGCUGCUUUAUAGAACACUGACUGAGACUUGUAUUUAGAACCAGGACUUCCAGCUGUUCCAGUACACAGCAGCAUAGUCCUCAUAGCACAGAGCAUCUUGGCACUUGCCAAGAAAACUAGUGUACAUUUAUAAAAAGUAGUACUGUCUGUAAUAAUUAUUCUCCUUCAGGCAUAUGCCAAAAUCAGUCAGAUAGAAUGCUGGCAAUAUUGUUGGUAGGGUUCUCGGAUAACAAAAUGUUAUUGAGCUUCUUUUCAUUAAAACAGAAGCAAGGAAAAAGAAAACCUAGAUUUAUAUAUAUACAUGUAUAUAUAGAGAGAGACAGAUAAUAUAUUUUAGAUUUCUCCUUCUCUGAAGGAGCAGCGAUUAAUCUACUUGCUCUUUCUGUGUUUCUGCUCUCACGAAUAAUUAUGAAAUGUUUGAAAUUAUGAUUCAUCCAUAACAAUGAGCAGAUAUAUUAAUAACUCAAGUAGAAAUAAGACAUUUACAUCUCUUCUUUUAAUAUAGCUUAAUUAAGAAAUUUUUUUGUGAACAGGUCACUAUUAUCUGUCCUGAUUAAUUCAGAAAUUUGACUAGCAGGAGAAGUUACACAGAAAGAAGAACUUCAGAGGAUGCUAAAUAGAAUUUCAAUCACUGGUAUUUCUACUGUCUAACCCAUAAAAUAUGUCAGAGUGUGCGUUGGGGUAUUGAUUUUCUGAUGUCUGGGAGAUGAAAAUACAAGUACCCAAGUGUUCCUCUUGACAGUUACAUUAAGAAAAUACUCAAGAAAAAAAAAAUAAUUUUGUUUGUUUUUGUUUUCCAAAAAGUUAUUCACAUGCAGUGACAACUAUUGUGAGGUAAACUUGAUAAAAUUAGGAACCUGAUUUUUUUGUUUGUUUGUUUGUUUAUGAUUUCAAGAAAGACAUAAGGGAAUAAGAAAUAAAUAGCAAGGAUUUGUAAUAUCA
rnacentral:lncRNA from 1 species